rnacentral:rRNA from 1 species
CUACGGGUGGCUCCAGUGAGGAAUAUUGCACAAUGGGGGAAACCCUAAUGCAGCAACGCCGCGUGGAGGAUGACGCAUUUCGGUGUGUAAACUCCUUUUAUGAGUCAAGAAAAUGACGGUAGCUCAUGAAUAAGCACCGGCUAACUCCGUGCCAGCAGCCGCGGUAAUACGGAGGGUGCAAGCGUUACUCGGAAUCACUGGGCGUAAAGGACGCGUAGGCGGGAUGUCAAGUCAGGUGUGAAAUCCUAUGGCUCAACCAUAGAACUGCACUUGAAACUGGCAACCUAGAGUAUGGGAGGGGGAGAUGGAAUUAGUGGUGUAGGGGUAAAAUCCGUAGAUAUCACUAGGAAUACCGAAAGCGAAGGCGAUCUCCUGGAACAUUACUGACGCUAAGGCGUGAAAGCGUGGGGAGCAAACAGGAUUAGAUACCCGUGUAGUC